GACAGAGGGUGCAAACGUUGUUCGGAUUUACUGGGCGUAAAGCGCGUGUAGGCGGCUUUGCAAGUCGGAUGUGAAAGCCCACGGCUCAACCGUGGAAGUGCAUCCGAAACUGCAUGGCUGGAGUCUCGGAGAGGAAGGUGGAAUGCUUGGUGUAGAGGUGAAAUGCGCAGAUAUCAGGAGGAACACCGGUGGCGAAGGCGGGUCUCUGGGCCGUAACUGACGCUGAGGAGCGAAAGCAUGGGGAGCGAACAGG
rnacentral:rRNA from 1 species